rnacentral:rRNA from 1 species
CUGCCCAGUAGUGGGGGAUAGCCCGGGGAAACCCGGAUUAAUACCGCAUACGCCCUACGGGGGAAAGCAGGGGAUCUUCGGACCUUGCGCUAUUGGAUGAGCCUAUGUCGGAUUAGCUUGUUGGUGGGGUAAUGGCUCACCAAGGCGACGAUCCGUAGCUGGUCUGAGAGGAUGAUCAGCCACAUCGGGACUGAGACACGGCCCGAACUCCUACGGGAGGCAGCAGUGGGGAAUAUUGGACAAUGGGGGCAACCCUGAUCCAGCCAUGCCGCGUGUGUGAAGAAGGCUUUCGGGUUGUAAAGCACUUUCAGUGAGGAGGAAAACCUUACGACUAAUACUCGUGAGGCUUGACGUUACUCACAGAAGAAGCACCGGCUAACUCCGUGCCAGCAGCCGCGGUAAUACGGAGGGUGCAAGCGUUAAUCGGAAUUACUGGGCGUAAAGCGCGCGUAGGUGGUUUGAUAAAGCGAGAUGUGAAAGCCCCGGGCUUAACCUGGGAACGGCAUUUCGAACUGUCAGGCUAGAGUGUGGUAGAGGGUAGUGGAAUUUCCUGUGUAGCGGUGAAAUGCGUAGAUAUAGGAAAGGAACACCAGUGGCGAAAGGCGGCUACCUUGGACCAACACUGACACUGAGGUGCGAAAGCGUGGGGGAGCAAAACAGGAAUUA